rnacentral:rRNA from 1 species
UAGGGAAUCUUCGGCAAUGGGGGCAACCCUGACCGAGCAACGCCGCGUGAGUGAAGAAGGUCUUCGGAUCGUAAAACUCUGUUGUUAGAGAAGAACAUGCAGGAGAGUAACUGUUCUUGUAUUGACGGUAUCUAACCAGAAAGCCACGGCUAACUACGUGCCAG